GUGGGGAAUUUUGGACAAUGGGCGCAAGCCUGAUCCAGCCAUGCCGCGUGCAGGAUGAAGGCCUUCGGGUUGUAAACUGCUUUUGUACGGAACGAAAAGACUCUGGUUAAUACCUGGGGUCCAUGACGGUACCGUAAGAAUAAGCACCGGCUAACUACGUGCCAGCAGCCGCGGUAAUACGUAGGGUGCGAGCGUUAAUCGGAAUUACUGGGCGUAAAGCGUGCGCAGGCGGUUAUAUAAGACAGAUGUGAAAUCCCCGGGCUCAACCUGGGAACUGCAUUUGUGACUGUAUAGCUAGAGUACGGCAGAGGGGGAUGGAAUUCCGCGUGUAGCAGUGAAAUGCGUAGAUAUGCGGAGGAACACCGAUGGCGAAGGCAAUCCCCUGGGCCUGUACUGACGCUCAUGCACGAAAGCGUGGGGAGCAAACAGGAUUAGAAACCCCAGUAGUCC
rnacentral:rRNA from 1 species